rnacentral:rRNA from 1 species
GACGAACGCUGGCGGCGUGCUUAACACAUGCAAGUCGUACGGUAAGGCCCUUUCGGGGGUACACGAAUGGCGAACGGGUGAGUAACACGUGAGUAACCUGCCCACAACUUUGGGAUAACGCUAGGAAACUGGUGCUAAUACUGGAUAUGUGCUCCUGCUGCAUGGUGGGGGUUGGAAAGCUCCGGCGGUUGUGGAUGGACUCGCGGCCUAUCAGCUUGUUGGUGGGGUAGUGGCCUACCAAGGCGGCGACGGGUAGCCGGCCUGAGAGGGUGACCGGCCACAUUGGGACUGAGAUACGACCCAGACUCCUACGGGAGGCAGCAGUGGGGAAUAUUGCACAAUGGGCGCAAGCCUGAUGCAGCAACGCCGCGUGCGGGAUGACGGCCUUCGGGUUGUAAACCGCUUUCAGCAGGGACGAAGCUUUUUGUGACGGUACCUGCAGAAGAAGCACCGGCUAACUACGUG